rnacentral:sRNA from 1 species
GAUUUUCCUGCCUCAGCCUCCAGAGUAGCUGGUGGGACUACAGGCACACGCCAACACACCCAGCUAAUUUUUUUUGUGUUUUUAGUAGAGAUGGGGUUUCACAUGUUGGCCAGGAUGGUCUCGAUCUCUUGACCUCGUGAUCCGCCCGCCUCAGCCUCCCAGAGUGCUGGGAUUACAGGCGUGAGCCACCGCGCCCAGCCAGAGUCUUCCACUUUUAUAGCAUGUCCUCAGGAAAUGUACUUCUGUCUCCUGUUCUGCAUCCCCAUCCUAAUAGGUGGAAGGGCAUCAAGCCUACUGUCGCGAUUCUCUCGAGAGGAAUUUCCGACCCUGCAGGCGGCUGGCGACCAGGACAAGGCUGCCAAGGAAAGGGAGUCUGCCGAACAGUCGUCUGGGCCCGGACCAAGCCUCCGCCCCCAAAAUUCUGCAACUUGGAGGGACGGAGGUGGGCGUGGCCCU